rnacentral:tRNA from 1 species
GCUCUUGUAGUUAAAUGGAUAUAACCACGGUCUUCGGAACCGUAGUUGUGGGUUCGAUUCCUGCCAAGAGCA